AGUGAACGCUGGCGGUAGGCCUAACACAUGCAAGUCGAACGGCAGCACAGUAAGAGCUUGCUCUUACGGGUGGCGAGUGGCGGACGGGUGAGGAAUACAUCGUAAUCUACUUUUUCGUGGGGGAUAACGUAGGGAAACUUACGCUAAUACCGCAUACGACCUACGGGUGAAAGCAGGGGAUCUUCUGACCUUGCGCGAUUGAAUGAGCCGAUGUCGGAUUAGCUAGUUGGCGGGUUAAAGGCCCACCAAGGCGACGAUCCGUAGCUGGUCUGAGAGGAUGAUCAGCCACACUGGAACUGAGACACGGUCCAGACUCCUAAGGGAGGCAGCAGUGGGGAAUAUUGGACAAUGGGCGGAAGCAUGAUCCAGCCAUACCGAGUGGGUGAAGAAGGCCUUCGGGUUGUAAAGCCCUUUUGUUGGGAAAGAAAAGCAGCAGGUUAAUACCCCGCUGUUCUGACGGUACCCAAAGAAUAAGCACCGGCUAACUUCGUG
rnacentral:rRNA from 1 species